AAAAUUUUGGAAUGCUUCACGAAUUUGUGUGUCCCUUGCGCAGGGGCCAUGCUAAUCUUCUCUGUAUUGUUCCGAUUUUAGUAUGAUGUUCAGGAAUGAAC